UACGGAGGAGGCAAGCGUUAUCCGGAAUUACUGGGCGUAAAGCGUGCGUAGGUGGUUGUUUAAGUCUGUUGUGAAAGCCCUGGGCUCAACCUGGGAAUUGCAGUGGAUACUGGGCGACUAGAGUGUGGUAGAGGGUAGUGGAAUUCCCGGUGUAGCAGUGAAAUGCGUAGAGAUCGGGAGGAACAUCCAUGGCGAAGGCAGCUACCUGGACCAACACUGACACUGAGGCACGAAAGCGUGGGGAGCAAACAGG
rnacentral:rRNA from 1 species